ensembl:lncRNA
CUCAGAUCUAGUGAAAACUGUUGCUCUUCAUGGGGCAAGUUGAAGUUAAAAGCAAACAAACCUUCAUCUGAAACUGCAUAAAAAGGAAAGAAACUUACAGAAAAACAGAACACCAUUAAAAGGAGAAGAAAAUCUGCCUGUAGAAGGAAAAGAAAUUAGAAAAUGGGGAGUUUGUAGUUUCAUUAACUUAGUGAAUUAACUUAGAGCUUAAAAACUUCAGAGCUUAAAAACUUUUUUAAAAAGGAAGCUUUUGAGAGCAGUAUAAAGUUUAGGACUCACUAAGGAUAUUAGUGUGGGAAGAACCAAACAACAGUAACCUUUGAUCAGAAAAUCUGUGAAUAUUUUCCAGCUGGAAAAACUUCCUAUGUAAGAGAAAAUUUCCUGGAUGAAAUACCAGGGAAGAGGCAGAGCAUUGGUAAAACAAAGGUCUUUCUUCCGAGUGAUGCUCUCUGCUCUGGUGUGGUCAUGUUCUGUCAGGAAGACACAGGGAAGCAGAUGGCAGUUUCCCUGUUCAGCAGUGAUGAGGACUUCCUGGAAUUGCUGAAGUUAUAUACAUCACAAGCAGGGCUUUGGGGAUCCUACUACACGUUCUUUAGUGUCAUUAUUGCCUUCUCGUAGUGUGACUUUUCUGUAAAUGAUAAUACCAAUUUUGCACACAUUCUUCAAAAUAUGAGGGUAAAUUCUAUUGUUUUGCUUCUGUCAUCUCCUUCCCCCUAGUUUUCCUUCAAAUGUAAGUUCUUUAUCAACAUACUAAUUUCUGAAAGACUGCUAAAGUCAUAUUCCUACUUGUGGCUUUGGUGGAACUCAUUAUGGGGAGGGCUCCCACAGGUGUUGAGUAUGUUAUCUGAAAGGACUGGAAGCAUGUGGGCUGCAUCUUCAACCAAUAGCAGAAAAGUUUGCAUGCCAAGUGCCGUUCUGUUGUCCAUUCCUGUCAUGUGAAUCUGGUUCCUCAUUUGAUUCUUAAUUACCUUUGUGUGAAAGUCCUCCUUGUACCGGUAAAUGAGCAUAUGAUAAACAACAAUAAAAUGUUUUUUAAUUAGUUUGAAGUGUAAAUUUACUAUUGAUUUGUAUCUUAUAGCUGAUGGAAUGCUCUUAACAUUUCUCCAGACUUUAAAAAAAUUUAAUUUAUAGCCUAUUCGUGUUUUCAGCUCAGUCCAUGGUUUUCUAUUUAUUUUUAUUUUUGUAGAGAUGAGGUCUCACUAUGUUGCCCAGGCUGGUCUCAAAGUCCUGGCCUUAAGUGAUCCUGCCACCUCUGCCUCCCGAAGUACCGGGAUUACAGGUGUGAGCCACUGCAUCUGGCUAUUUAAAAAACAUUUCUCUGCAGAAUUCUGUAGUUUCAUCUGAAGGCCUUAGGUACCAGGCUCAAGAAGGAGGUGAUCAUUGAUUGGUUAAUUCAUUCAUCUGCAAACAAAUAUUUAUUGAGCACCUCUUGUAUCCAGGUGCUUUUGUAGGAACCUAGAAUACAGUGCUGACCGAGGUACCUGGUCUUUUUUCUCUUGGAACUUACACUGCCAUAGGGAGAUAGAUAAUAUGCAACAGGAUUAAGUGAUAUGCCCGCAAGGCACUUACCACAGGGCCUGGUACAUAAGUGCUCAAUAGAUAUUGUUAUUAUUAUUUAUUGUGGAUACUGCUGUUAUCAGAUGGGUGCAGUUAGAUUGUCCCUUUUGACAUUCACAAUGUUGCCU